GCUGAGGAACCUGGCUCCAUUUCAGGCCCCAGAUCUGAGUCUUCUGUGAUCCCAAUAAGAAAGAAGAAUGGAGAAACUCUUGGGAGUGUCUUUGGUGAUUCUAUGGCUUCAACUGGCCAGGGUGAACAGCCAACAAGGAAAACAGAAUCUUCAGGCUCUGAGCGUCCAGGAGGGUGAGAAUGCCACCAUGAACUGCAGUUAUAAAACCACUAUAACCAUCUUACAGUGGUAUAGACAAGAUGCAGGUAGAGGCCUUGCCCUACUGUUUUUAAUACGUUCAAAUGAGAGAGAGAAACACAGUGGGAGACUACGAGUCACGCUUGACACCUCCAGCAAAAGCAGCUCCCUGUCCAUCAGGGCUUCCCGGGCUGCAGACGCUGCUGCUUACUUCUGUGCUGUGGAU